AAAAGUGAAAAAGUUUUGCGUGUAAAUGAACUUAUAUUUUGCAACUUAUUUUUGUUGCGUUGCCUAGCAACAAGCUAGCGGCACGCCAGACGGGCGUGCAUACGUCAUGCGCCAGACAAGCCGCAGGAGUGAGCGAGGCCGGCUGCGCAUGUGAAGCUCGCGUGCUCGGCGACCCGUCUCUUUUGGAUGUAGCCCGUUUUUUGGGCUCCCGGCGUUCUCUUGUGUUCCGUCUGCAUUUCGACACGGCACCGCUGCACUACUGGACUACAGCAAGCUGAUGGCAUCCGGUGGAGCUUCGUACGGCAACGAGUGCUGCUUACCUGGUGCCCCAACUUUGGAUGAAUGCUGAAGAAGCCCGGAACGAGUAUUUAUAUACAGCAAAACAAACAUUUCAGCAUUUCAGAAGAUGUCUUGCUUUUUCUUUAUGAAAUUGCACCUGACGGAUUCGGCGGAGUCUUGUUAAGGUCGUUCGCAAUCACUUUUACUAAAUAAUGAAACGAUUCCACGCCAAGGCCACGCGGAGUUCAGCAGAAGCGAAAAAAAAAAAAAACGCCGCGCAGGACAGCGGAGCCAGUGCGGCGCGUACCAACUGGUGUUCAAAACGCGCGCGCCCAAAACCAAAACCGGAAGGAGUUAAUACCAUCCGCUUGGUGUGCUACAGUCAAUUCGGCCGCUGGGCUCUGUGGGAAUGUCCGCUCCUGUUGAAAUUUCUUUCCGUAUGGACAAACCGCCGAAGCGAGAGAGACCGGCCGCGCAUCUGAGCGUUGGACUGUUCGGGCACCCGUCUGCCUGUUUUUCUAUUUUGGGAUUUAGCCUGGUUUGGUGGCCUCCCGGCGAAUUCUUGCGUUCCUUCGGAACUUCGACAUGGCGCCACUGCACUAUUGGACUACGGCAAGGUGAGAAACUCUGUUCGACAGUCUGCGACGCACUUCAAGCAAUUAGGCUUACUGCCCGGCAUCUAGGCUAGACUUGGUGACGCAGUUAACGAAAAACAGCGUGGCCGUCGUAGAGCAGUUAAUUUGAAUUAAUGAAUCGUACUGGGAGAUGUUUGCGACGCUUUCUGUGAGCCCCAAUAUUUAACUAAUUUCGGUAGUUUUUGGGCACGCUAGUCGCACAGGGUGCUGUGACGCAGUUUCGCGUGUACUGCAUUUUACUGCGGCAACUUUUGGCGCUUUCUCUGACUGCCAACAUUGUUGAAACUAAUUUCAUUACUUUUUGGGCUACCUUUCGAGCGCAGUGGGCGCGCCUGGCGCUGUGACGCGGUUAGCGAAAAGCAGCUCGGCCGUGGUGCGCGGUUUCGCGCUUUAAUGCACUGACAUGUUCAUGGCGCUUUCUCUGACGCCCAGCAUUGUUGAAAAUUAUUUUCGGUACUUCUAUGUUACCUAUGAGGCCCGCUCACCGCGCCUGUCGUGAGGCAGCGAAAAGCAGCUCGGCCGUGGUGACAAAGUUAGUUUGGCGCGUACUGAAUCUUACUGCGACAAGUUUGUGGCAAUUUUUAUAUCCCCGCAAUAAUUUAAGCCUUCUUUCGAUACCCACGCUUGUCGAAAACGCGACGUGCAAUCGUCAGGAGUGAUAACACAGGAGUGCGUUGCUUGCGCCUGCAGAAGGCGCAAGAGAUAAGCCAAGGAGCUCAAAGGCCAGGAACUAGCAACUCGAAAAUUUUGUCUUCUGAACGGCACCCACGCAUUUGUCUUGGGUGCGAGUAGAAGGAAUUGUGCGAGCGUCCAGCAUGGUCUGGUUGAGAGCCUGUGUUGUGGCCACCUCUGCAUUCGUAGCGUACUAUCGCGUCGGUUUAGCAAAGUUCGCGAAACGCACCGUAGCCCGCGCAUUCAUGCAAAUAAAGUGCAGGAAAUAAGUCCCGGGAAGAGGGGAAUGCUUGGAAUUAGAAUGUCUUUGCGGUAUGCACGGCAUUGUUUCGGAUGAGUCGGGUAUUUUGUACGCCGUGUGUGUAAAUACGAACUGCUUUUUUUUUUUGUAAUGCCGCCCAUUAACCACUUUCGCACGCUUCGCCUCUACACGCAUUAUUCUUACAUGUUAAUACCAAAAUAACACUUGCUUGUAAUUUCUUCAGCUCACGUCGUCUGGUGGAACUUCCUGCGGAAACUACUGCUGCUUACCUGGUACCACAACGUUGGACGAAUGCACAAAAAGCCCGCGACGAGCAUUUAUAAAGAAUAAAACAAACAUUUCCUCAUUUCACAAGGUGUCUUGCGUGUUUAUGAAAUUGCACGUGGCACAUUAUCGGUGGAGGCUUGUGAAGAUCGUUCGGAAUCGAUUUUGCUUAAUAAUAAAAUGAUUUCGCGUGAAGACCGCGCGCGAUUGAAGUGUAAAAGCAAAAAAAGAAA